rnacentral:lncRNA from 1 species
ACUUUUCUCUGUUUUGAAUCUAGCCUCGCAUGUUCUAAAACCCAUGCACUCUUUAUAUGUAAAUUUUAUUUCUCCAAACAACCUUUGAUUUUGGGUAUUGAUCUCAGACGGACAUUGCGUGAACUUGAUUGAUUCUUUCCUUGUCUAAAUUGAACCUUCCUAUUCCCUUAUUUUCUGACUUCGAUGUUUCUCCUUACUUAAUAAUUCCCUACUCACUAAUUUUCUGGUUGCAUGACACUUUUCUCUUUUUUGAAUCUAGCCUCGAAUGUUCUAAAACUCAUGCACUCUUUAUAUGUAGAUUUUUUCUCUCCAAACAACCUUUGAUUUUGGGUAUUGAUCUCAAAUGGACAUUGUGUGAACUUGAUUGAUUCUAUCCUUGUCUAAAUUGAACCUUCUUAUUCCCUUAUUUUCUAACUUGGUUCAUUAUUGAUUUCGAAUCUUUGAUUCCUUAUUUACUAUGUACUAGUUAAUUUGUUUCUUGCCUUAUUUACUUAAACCGCGUGUUUUAAACUUUCCCUUAUGAAUUUACCUCUUAUUUGCAUAUUGUGCAUGAUAUGCUACUUGAACUCCCUAAUUAAAGAAAUUCCCUUCUACUGAUUGUUUUCUGAUUGAUACUCGAUUAUUUUAUUUCCUUGCUUGCAUGCCUGACUAUAAGUAUAAAUACAUGCUCCUCUCUUCACUCCAUUAUCGAAUUCUGACUGCCAAUCAAAUCAGAUUUCACUUCUUUGUCUUGAAAUAUUCUUUACUACUACCAUUACUACUAUUUAUUCUUUUCUACACUACUACUGAGAAUUCUACAUCAUUACUUCCUGCUAUUUGAACUCCGAAGUACUUGUGGGAGCUUCUUGAGUUUGUUCAUGUUGACGACAUGGCUGUUUGUUUGCUGUUACUAUUCUGCUGUUCUAGAGUUUGCAACUGGUUUGUUCUACUAUUUUAAAUAACAUCCUCUUUAUUAUGAGUUCUUUUCUCCUCUUCAACCUUUCUUUCUUUGUGUAUUUUCUCAUGAUUUCCUUUAUUAUGUGAUUAUAUUUAAGCAUGCUAUGCCUCCUUGUGCUUUCAAUCCGUUAUGUUUUAACCCCUUCCCUCCAUUCGCUUAUUAUGUGAGUAUUGUCUUGAUCAUGGCAGCACUUUGAAUUGCUGCCUAUGAUACAGAACUAGACUCUCCUGAGUCUUUACUCAAUUAUUUUCCUAUUCCAUUUCCCUUCUAUGAGUUGAG